UUCUCUUAGAGGAGACAGGCUUUUGCUUUUAAUCUAAUUUCUCAAGUUUGUUGCAUUGAUCCAUCUAGUUUGUUAUUGAUGCUGUUAAGAUUCAUAUGAACUUGGAUUGGUUUAUCUUUUUUUAUGGAUUUUUCCUUUUCUCCAUGUUAUUUUUACCCUGGCAAUCGCUAAUCUUUAAGCUUGUUUCCAAUGGUGUUGAGAUCUAUCCAAAAUAGUAUUGAUUUCUUGUUUUGACGGUUGACUUUUCGCUUACUUCCUACUACUUUCUUAUUGAGUUGGUUCCUAUAGAUCUAUAAUCUUGGUUUGGUGUGUACGCUAUAAAGAUCCCCACAAACUUGGAUUAGUUUAUCUAUUGAUAACAAGCAUUUCACUUUCUCACAUCUAUUUACAACACGGUUGCUCCAAUCUAUCUAGAUUGUUGUGUGUGCUAUAGAGACCCACAUGAAUUGAAACUAGUUUGUUGUGCGUGCUACGGAGAUCCAUGUGAAUUCAAACGGGCCUCUCUCUCGUUGCGUGAUAGACUCUUCAUUUUUCUCAAUAUCUCUACGCCAACUAUUAUACUUUACUAAUUUGUUUUUAGCCCAAAGCACCUAAUACAAACAAAUAAAGAAAACAAGAAAACAAAACCAAGACGUGUAAAGGGGCCAUUUUUUGUCAAAUAAAUAACCCAAAAAGAAACCAAUUUAAAAUCAAUUAUCACAAUUUCAAAGAGAUUGGAUUUUUGUUUCUCUCCACUCCAAUACCUCUCUCCAUCUCCCUUGUGCGUUUUCCGAUCGGCAGUGCCGGAGGCACACGCCCCCGCCCUUCUCUGUCUCCGCCGCCGCCGCCGCCUUCGCCGCCGGCGAGUAGGCCCGGAGUCACGGCGAGAAAACCGGCUCGCCCUCUCCUUCCCGCCCGCGCCGCCCGCCCGCCCGCCCUAGCCGCCUCCUCCCCACCCUGUGCGGCCUCGUCGCGCGCGCCGCCGGCGAACAGGUUCGGAGGGGGCGGCGCGGCGCGGCGCGGGCCUCGGCUCGAAUCGGAUUCAAGUUGGGACAGGCAUGGCCUGCGUUAGCUCUGUCGCCAUGGCUGGGCCAGUGUUGUGGUGAUUGCGAGGGAAGAUGCAAAGGUACACGGGCGCUGGGCACAAUGCUGGGUUUGGCGGCGGCGUGCCAGGCAGGGGGGUGGUGGCAGGAGGGAGGGAGAAGGGCAGGCUGGAGCCUUCUUCGUUCCAUGGUGCCAAUUACCCCGCGAACUUGAGGCGGCAACCACUGGUAGCUCCUUACAAGCUGAAGUGUGACAAGGAAUCACUCAAUGCCAGGCUUGGUGCACCUGACUUCUAUCCCCAGACAUUGAGUUGUGCAGAAGAGACCUUAACCAAAGAAUAUGUGCAAUCUGGGUACAAGGAUACCGUUGAAGGAAUUGAGGAAGCCAGAGAGAUUGUACUCAGUCAGAUUCCAUACUUGAGCAAACCAGAUAUUGCUACAAAAUGCAAGGAGGCACUAAAGAAGCGGUUCAGAGCGAUCAAUGAAUCUCGUGCUCAGAAGAGGAAGGCUGGCCAAGUUUAUGGGGUCCCUCUUUCUGGCUCGUUGCUGACAAAACCUGGGAUGUAUCCAGAGCAAAUGCAUAGCAAUGAAGACACACGCAGAAAAUGGAUCGAGGCCCUUGUGCAACCAAACAGGCGUCUAUGGUCAUUAGCAGAGCAAGUUCCUCGUGGUUUUCGGAGGAAGUUACUCUUUAAUUAUCUUAUCCGAUAUAAUGUCCCACUGUUAAGAGCAUCAUGGCUUGUGAAGGUUACUUACCUUAAUCAGGUUCAAACAUCAUCCAAUAAUGUUUCAUCUGCUGCUCCUGAUAGUUUGCGAUCUCAGCACUGGACAAAGGAUGUUAUUGAAUACUUGCAGCUGCUUUUGGACGAAUUGUGUUCUAAAAAUGGCUUUUUUGGACUUCCAUCUUCUCAAGAACAGUCAUUGCCAUGCCUUGUUGCUGGAGACAGCCCAAUUAAGUUAAAAACCGGGGCAUCACCUGCUAGUGCAGAUGUUGAGGAGCCUUCGCUACACUUUAAAUGGUCGUAUAUGAUUCGUAUUGUUCAAUGUCAUCUCAUGGAACAAUUACUUGUUCCGUCGUUACUUAUCGAAUGGGUAUUUAAUCAGCUCCAGGAGAGAGACUCAACUGAGGUUUUAGAAUUACUCUUGCCUAUUGUACUUUCUUUGGUUGAUACCAUAACCCUCUCACAGACAUAUAUCCACAUGCUGGUGGAAAUACUGAUUCAACGUCUCAGUGAUGCUUCUCCUGGCAGCUUAAGUGUUAAGAAUAACCCAAAAAGGUCAUCCAUUACCUCUGCUUUAGUUGAGUUACUGCAGUACUUGAUACUUGCUGUUCCCGAUACAUUUGUUUCUUUGGAUUGCUUUCCACUUCCAUCAGUUGUGGCUCCUGAUGUAUACGGUAAAGGUGCUCUUCUGAAAAUAGCAGGUGGUGGUAAAAUUGCUAGCUCUAGGAGACAGAAUGCAUCUCGACACCUCUCUUGUGGUUAUGCCAUUUGUUCAGUUCAAAGACGUGCAUCUGAUCUUUCUUUAGUUGCUAAUCCUAAUCUUCAAGUUCGUGGGGCAGCCAACGUAGUGCAAGCUUUGGACAAAGCACUUGUAACUGGAAACUUGACAGCAGCAUAUACAUCAGUAUUCAAUUAUCUAUCAGAUACCCUGAUGGAAGAAACAUGGAUUAAAGAAGUCAGCCCUUGCUUGCGAUCUUCUCUGAUGUGGAUGGGAGCUGUUGAGUUAUCCCUUGUCUGCUCUGUGUUUUUCAUUUGUGAGUGGGCAACAUGUACUUUCCGUGAUUGCCGUACAUCACAAUGCCAAAAUGUAAAAUUUUCAGGAAGCAAAGAUUUCUCUCAGGUCUAUAUGGCAGUUUCCCUGUUGAAGGAUAAAAUGAAUGAGAUAAAUAAUUUAUCUUCUUCCAAGAGCAGCAGUCAGCUUGCAAUGAAGGAUCACCUUAAAAGUGCUACUCUGAAUCAUUCUUCUAUCAAGGUGACAGCAAUGGAGACUGCUUCUGGAUUUAGAGACAGUACAGGUAGCAUUGAUGAGAAUAACAAAAAGGAUAUCUUCAGCAGCCCAGGUCCACUGCAUGACAUUAUUGUAUGCUGGUUGGAUCAACAUGAGAUUAGUGAUGCUUCGGGAUUUAAAAGUGUGGAUGUUUUCAUGACUGAACUUAUUCGCAGUGGUAUAUUUUAUCCUCAGACAUAUGUGAGACAACUAAUUGUUAGUGGAAUCACCAUUUGGAAUGAUAGCUUGUUUGAUCUGGAAAAGAAAACGAGGCAUUACAAAAUUCUGAAGCACCUGCCAGGGUUUUGCUUAUUUAAUAUCCUUGAGGAAGCUAAGAUUGCUGAAGAUCAAGUCCUUUAUGAAAUUGUGUCAACAUAUUCUAGUGAGCGUCGACUUGUGCUUUCUGAGCUUUCAAGUGGUCUGGCUACUGAUGCAAAUGUUGAAGGCAGGGUCCCUUUGAGUUCCUGCCUUCAGAAACAGCCUGAUCUUCUAAUGGAUUCAACAGAUGAUAAUCAUGGCAGAGUGGCAGUUCAAGUAGAAGAGGUAAAACUUAUGAUAUCAGGUCUGUUGAAUUUGGGAUACUCUACACUCUUGGCUGAAUCAGGAAGAGAAGAAACAAAAAAAACCAAGAAAGGACAAACAGAUUUGGUAGACUCAGAAGAAGAUGUUGGGCAUGCAAAAACUGGCUGUAAGGAUAGUAGUAGGACCAAGAGACAGAAGUUGGAUAAGAACGUGUUUCCUUUCCAAGGGUCCCCAUUGGUUCAAUCAGAUGAGGAAGAUUUUUGGUGGGUAAGGAAAGAGCAGAAGCAGGAAUUGUUUACUGUUGAAACAAUACAUCAGUCAAUUGAACAAACAAGUGGAGGUAAGGCAACAGUAGUGCAAAAGACACAAAAUAUAGCACAACUUGCAGCUGCUAGAAUCGAUGGUAGCCAGGGGGCAUCUACUAGUCACGUGUGUGAUAACAAUCUGAGUUGUCCCCACCAUAAACCUGGCACUAACUCUGACAUUCUUAAAGACGCUGAUCAUAUGAGUAUGUUGACUCUGGCUGAAGUUGGCAAAUCACUUAAGAGACUUAGAUUGCUUGAAAGAAGAUCCAUUUCAAUCUGGCUGCUGAAGUCCAUAAAACAACUAAUUGAAGGAGAUGAAGUGAAACAUUCUAAGGCUAAUAACUCCAUAAGUGCCUCCACUGUGCAGCAUAGUGGUAAAAUUGCAUCUGGAUGGAGGUUUGGAGAAGAUGAACUUCUGUCAGUGCUGUACAUAAUGGAUACAUGUUGUGAUUUACUCUCCUCUGUAAGGUUGCUUAUAUGGCUUCUAUCAAAGAUUUAUAUUGGAAGGACCACAUCUGGUCAAGUUGGAAGAGGUGUUAUGCACCCAAAACAUAAAGAAAACCAAGUUUUCCAAGUAGCCGAAGCUUUUCUGUUCUCAUCCUUGCUCAGGUAUGAGAACAUCCUUAUUGCAAUGGAUCUUUUGCCCGAGGUUUUGAGUGUUUCAAUGAAUAGAACUGUUCAUAAGUCAGGUGAAAGGCAGUCUACUUCAGUAGCUUUUGCUUAUGCUCGAUAUUUCUUAAGGAAAUACAGAGAUGUGACUAGUGUUGCUAGGUGGGAAAGAAAUUUUAGGUCCACAUCUGAUAAAAGGCUGCUUGCUGAACUGGAUAGUGGAAAGUCAAUCACUGGUGAUUCAAUUAUUUCUGGAAUUUCAUCAGGUGAAGAACUUGAUGGGCAUGUCCAUAAAAAAUUGAAUGGGAAAGCAGGAGUACUUCCAAGUAUGAAGGAGAUAGUGCAACGGCAAACUGACGAGUUUUUACGCAACCUAAGGGAAAAUAAUGCUACAGCACCAAAGAACCCAUCUUUUUCUGAAACGGAAGAUAGCUAUCAAACUGCUCAUGACAUUGUUUUGGGAUUGGCAGACUGUAUCAGACAAAAUGGAGGAGCAAAUCCAGAUGGAGAUCAUUCUUUAGUUGCUUCUGCUGUUUCUGCAAUUGUUGACAAUGCUGGGCAUGCAAUAGCUAAACACUUGGAUAUUUCAGGUGGUAACAAUCCAGGUGUUACCUCAAUUAAUUCAUUAAACUUGAUUCAACACAUUUUGGAUAUCCACAUAAACUCUCUGGCCUUGCUAAGAGAAACUUUAGGUGAUCGAUUUAGUAGAAUAUUUGAAAUAUCUCUUGCUGUUGAAGCUUCUUCAGCUGUUGCAGCAUCUUUUGCUCCUCCUAAGGCUCACCGCAGUCAACAGUCUUCUGAGACCCAUGAUGAAAGUGGAAAUCAUGCAAAUGAAGUUCCAAGUAAUCCGUCAAAAUGUUUUAAUGUUAAGGCUGUAAAAGUUUCUGCUGCUGUUUCUGCACUAGUUGUUGGAGCUAUUAUUUAUGGGGUUGUCAGUCUAGAGCGGAUGAUGGUGGUCCUAAGAUUAAAAGAAGGUUUGGACAUUCUGCAGUUCUUAAGAAUUUCCAAAGCUAGCACAAAUGGUGUGACCCACUCCAUUGGAAAUUUCAAAAUUGACAGUUCCACUGAAGUUUUGGUACAUUGGUUUAAGAUUCUAAUAGGGAACUGUAAGACAGUUUAUAAUGGAGUGAUCGCAGAGAUUCUAGGUGAUUCUUAUGUCCUUGCCUUUUCAAGGUUGCAACGGACGCUUCCAUUGGGUAUAGUUCUUCCUCCAGCUUAUUCAAUAUUUGCUAUGGUCCUUUGGCGACCAUAUUUAUAUGACACCAGUACAUCGAAUCAUGAAGACAUUCAGCUUUAUCAGUCUCUACUGGGUGCAAUUAGUGAUAUCACAAGACAUCAGCCUUUUCGAGAUGUCUGCUUCCGUAACAUGCAUCUUUUCUAUGAUCUUCUGGCUGCGGAUGUUGGUGAUUCAGAGUUUGCUGCAAUCGUUGAACUUCGAAGCCCUGAUGAAUGUUUGAAAGCUCUUUCACCUCUUCGUGCCCGGGUUUUCCUGAAUGCUCUUCUUGAUUGUGAAAUACCAGUAACAAUGAGAGACGAUGGUACAUAUGCUUUAGAGCCUGGUUGUGCAGAAGCUAGUACCAAGAAUGAUGUAAAGUUUCCAGAGAGGCUUAUAGAAAUUCUGAAUGUCCUACAGCCUGCAAAGUUCCAUUGGCAAUGGGUUGAGUUGAGGCUGCUUUUGGAUGAGCAAUCUCUUAUUGAGAAACCAAAGAAUGUGCCAUAUGUAAAAGCACUUCGAUCCCUAUCCCCUAAUGCUGAGAAUUUUACCCUCUCUGAAAGGGAAAAGGGGCUUACUGAAGUUAUUUUGUCUAGGCUACUUGUCAGACCUGAUGCUGCUCCUCUAUACUCAGAACUUAUUCACCUUCUUGGAAAGCUACAAGAGUCAUUCGUGAUGGGUAUCAAAUGGUUCUUACAAGGGCAAGAUGUUCUUUUGGGAAACAACUCUGUAAGACAACAGCUUGUUAACUUGACUCAGCGCAAAGGAUUUCCAAUGAAGACACAGUUUUGGAAGCCAUGGGGAUGGUCAAAAUUAGUCGGAUAUGCUAAUGCUAAUAAAAGCUCCAAAAGGAAGUUAGAAGUUACUUCAAUUGAGGAAAGAGAAGUUGAUGGCUUGAUUGAUUCUAGAAAAUCCAGUAAUAGGAAGUCGCUAAAUGUGGGUACAAGCCCAGAAGGGCAUGGAUCUACCCAAAAAUAUUUUACUCAGGAAGCCCUUGCUGAGUUAGUUUUGCCAUGCAUAGACAGAAGUUCUAGCGAGUUUCGCUUUGUAUUUGCUGGUGAUUUGAUCAAACAUAUGGGUGUGAUCAGUGAGCAUAUUAAAGCAGCAGUGUGGAACGGUAUUAAUAAACUGAAUAGUUCAAAUCCUUCAGGAAAUGAAGGUUUGAGUAAACCCAAUGGCCGCAAAGGAAUCUUCAGUGGUAGUCCGAAUAUCAGGAAGCAUAGCCCUGUACCUAAUGAUUCAACUACUCCUUCCGCAUCAGCUUUACGAUCAUCAAUAUGGUUGCGCCUGCAAUUCAUCAUUAGGCUACUUCCAGUAAUUAUUGCAGACAGUAACAUGAGGCAAACGCUAGCUUCCUCCUUAUUAAGCUUGGUUGGAACACGUGUGGUCUAUGAAGAUGCAGAUUCACUUGAACCUUACAUGGAUGAUGUCCUGCUUGAUUGUCCAAGUGAAAGCCUAUUCGAUAGGCUUUUAUGUGUCCUGCAAGCUUUGCUUGGCAAUAGCCAACCAAGUUGGCUGAAGACUAAGCCAAGCUCCAAGCCAGCUGUUAAAUUUUUGCGUGAUCUUUCUGCAAUUGAUAAAGAGGUCACUAAGAGCUUGCAGUGUGCAUUAGAUCGCAUGGAGUUGCCAGCAACAAUCAGGCGGCGGAUUCAAGUGGCUAUGCCGAUUCUACCUACUUCCCGCCUCUCCUCCAUAACAUGUGGUCCUCCUCUACUGUCCUCUGCUGCACUAUCACCAUUCCAGUGCAGUACAUCUGCUGCAGGGCCUCACCAACAAUUUCCCCUCAAUUGGAUUCCUACCAAUCUCUCAAGAAGAUGCAAGGCAGCGUUGCCUUCACAGGAUCCUAACAUGGAAAUAGAUCCUUGGACUUUGCUGGAAGACGGUACAAGCUGUCCAAAUACCAACAGUGGCAGCAAUUCUGCAAAUGGUGUUACCGGUGACCAUGCCAAUCUGAAAGCUUGCAGCUUUCUCAAGGAUUCUGUAAGGGGAUGGCUGAUGGCUUACUAAAGAUUAAAGAGCAUAAAAAGUGCUAGAAAUCAGUCCUCCACUUCCUGAUGAUGACAAACCACAGCUUAUGGAGGUCGAGGUGGAGUUGCCAACAGCUCAUUCUGUAAAUCUAUCUUCAAGUCCGAGCUCGAGAUCAAAUAUGAGUUAGUCAGGACGAUCACUAGCUGUGGAAAUCUGGACGAAGGUUUUCAUGGUCAUGUAAAUUUUAUUGCAAAGGGCGAUUGCAAGAACUCGGAGGAGUUAUUUUUCGCGGAAGUACGCUGGGAAAACAAUGGAUAUAUACCCACUUGCAUGGUCUCUCUUGAAGGGAAAGAAAAAAUUGGUGGUUACUAUGGCGCCAGAGUUCAUUAUCCAAGAGGUGUUCCAGGUCUUCCCAUUGACAAACAACACUGCUAUUUCUGUGGAGAUGAGCUUAAGCAUCCAGAAGAUGGAACACUGUAUGAGAGUGGCCAUGUUGCUUCGAGUGAUUAUUAUGAGUAGUAUGCAUUAUCUAUUAUGUUUAUUAUUUUCAAGUUGAACUAAGUUAGUAUUUGUGUUAGUUAUCACACUUUUUCACCGUUGUAAUGUUUAUAAACCACGUUUAUAUUUGGGUUGAACUUCGAGUUGUAUGCCAUACAGCCGAGCAAAAGUUUGAGAGAAUCAUCGUUGUAUGUCAGCAAUUCGCUCUUGGGAGGAGCUAUAUUUGUUUAACCAGAUCUUAUCCUGUUUUUACC